UUGCAAGAUCCCUGACUUGGUUUCCUUCCAGACUCCGUCAGUGUUCCAUAACACUGAAAGGUCUCUAAACCAUGGCGGCAUAUUGGGAAGACCGUGACAAUACAGCCAGCAAAUGAAGUGAGGAGGCCGACACCUUCAUGAAGAUCACAGAGGGAGUGGCUGUAGCUGACACCCACAUGUUUUCUUCAGCAACACUGCCUGCCCUGAUACCCGGUGGCUGUCACUCAGGCAAGUCUUUGAAGACUGGGGCAACCUAGAUGACUAAAAUCUCAGGUGUGUACCAACCAGCCUCACUCGCUCCUCUCCACACUAAUUAGUAACAAAUAAAACAUAAAGUUAAUUACA